rnacentral:lncRNA from 1 species
UGUUUAAUGCAUUAAACAGUGCUUUCACCUAUUGGCACAUGUAUGGAAACUAAUUAGACGACGAUGGCAAACAUCUUAAUAUUUAAAUGAGUAAAAUGUCAUUUUCGUCCUUGAGUCCGCAAGCUUCACAACACCAGAUGCAUUAACAAGCAAAUUUGCUCCUUUUAUAUCUCUAUGUAACACAUGCAUAGAUCAUUGAGAGCAUAUAUUGGUAAAUUUAACUACCAAUACAGUUACAAUCCCUCGAAAUAUAUAUAAAUAUGCUAAUCGUCCUUUAAAUUAUUUCAACUGCAAUGUUAGCUUAUCUGCUUUUGCAAAGAAUAAUGAUACCUGUGAACAAUCUUCUUGCUGUGCAA